AGUGAACGCUGGCGGCGUGCCUAAUACAUGCAAGUCGAACGGAGUGGCGCACGGGUGAGUAAUAUAUAGCUAAUCUGCCCCUUGCUGGAGGACAACAGUUAGAAAUGACUGCUAAUACUCCAUAGCAAGGUAUGAAACUAUAUCGUAUCAGCUAGUCGGUGGGGUAACGGCCUACCGAGGCUAUGACGCGUAACUGGUCUGCGAGGAUGAUCAGACACAUUGGAAAUGAGAAACGGUCCGAACUCCUAGGGGAGGGAGCUAUAGGUAAUAGAGCGCAAUGGGGGAAACCCUGAGGCAGCAACGCCUCGAGGGGGAUGAUGCUUGUGGAAGCGGAAAGUACGUUUGGUAGGUAAGCGGUACCUAACGAAUAAGCACCGGCUAACUCCGUGCCAGCAGCCGCGGUAAUUC
rnacentral:rRNA from 1 species